rnacentral:rRNA from 1 species
GUAGCGAAAGUUGCGCUAAUACUGCAUAUUCUGUGAGCAGGAAAGCAGGGGACCGCUAGGCCUUGCGCUCUUUGAGCGGCCGAUGUCAGAUUAGCUAGUUGGUGAGGUAAAGGCUUACCAAGGCGACGAUCUGUAGCGGGUCUGAGAGGAUGAUCCGCCACACUGGAACUGAGACACGGUCCAGACUCCUACGGGAGGCAGCAGUGGGGAAUUUUGGACAAUGGGGGCAACCCUGAUCCAGCCAUGCCGCGUGAGUGAAGAAGGCCUUCGGGUUGUAAAGCUCUUUCGGCCGGGAAGAAAUCGCAUGGGCCAAUACCCUGUGUGGAUGACGGUACCGGAAUAAGAAGCACCGGCUAACUACGUGCCAGCAGCCGCGGUAAUACGUAGGGUGCGAGCGUUAAUCGGAAUUACUGGGCGUAAAGCGUGCGCAGGCGGUUUUGUAAGACAGGCGUGAAAUCCCCGGGCUUAACCUGGGAACUGCGUUUGUGACUGCAAGGCUAGAGUACGGCAGAGGGGGGUGGAAUUCCACGUGUAGCAGUGAAAUGCGUAGAGAUGUGGAGGAACACCAAUGGCGAAGGCAGCCCCCUGGGUCGAUACUGACGCUCAUGCACGAAAGCGUGGGUAGCAAACAGGAUUAGAUACCCUGGUAGUCCACGCCCUAAACUAUGUCAACUAGGUGUUGGGUGGGUAAAACCAUUUAGUACCGUAGCUAACGCGUGAAGUUGACCGCCUGGGGAGUACGGCCGCAAGGUUAAAACUCAAAGGAAUUGACGGGGACCCGCACAAGCGGUGGAUGAUGUGGAUUAAUUCGAUGCAACGCGAAAAACCUUACCUACCCUUGACAUGCCAGGAACUUGCCAGAGAUGGCUUGGUGCCCGAAAGGGAGCCUGGACACAGGUGCUGCAUGGCUGUCGUCAGCUCGUGUCGUGAGAUGUUGGGUUAAGUCCCGCAACGAGCGCAACCCUUGUCGUUAAUUGCCAUCAUUUAGUUGGGCACUUUAACGAGACUGCCGGUGACAAACCGGAGGAAGGUGGGGAUGACGUCAAGUCCUCAUGGCCCUUAUGGGUAGGGCUUCACACGUCAUACAAUGGUCGGUACAAAGGGUUGCCAAGCCGCGAGGCGGAGCCAAUCCCAGAAAGCCGAUCGUAGUCCGGAUUGCAGGCUGCAACUCGCCUGCAUGAAGUCGGAAUCGCUAGUAAUCGUGGAUCAGCAUGUCACGGUGAAUACGUUCCCGGGUCUUGUACACACCGCCCGUCACACCAUGGGAGCGGGUUCUGCCAGAAGUAGGUAGCCUAACCGCAAGGGGGGCGCUUACCACGGCGGG